CACUGAGCACUUGAAAAAAAGCAGGAUACAUGUGGGCAAGAGCCCUCCUUUGUUCUUCUCCUCUUCUACAAAGCUGGUUUUACAUAUAGUAUAUGCUGGAGUGGUCCUUCAAACUUUUAUGGCCAUGCCCUUCUUCCAUUGCUUCUUUACAUAUGACAAUAUCUAUAUAAAUAUAUUGAGAGAAUAGCAAUUUUCAUUUCUACCAGUUGAAGAAAUCAAGAAAUGCCUGAGAGAGAUCUGAUGAGGUGAAUUUUGUAAGUCCUUCCAUGCUUUUCCACAGCUUUCUUGAACUUUUUCGACGUGAAUUUAGAUCCCUCUAUCGGAAUAUAUGGAGGAUUAUUAUGAAGAAGAUGGAAGUUCAAGAAAGCUGUGGGAGAACAUGAAAAUUUAGGACUUAAUUCUAUUUAGUGCAUCACUCCACAGCUGCUGAUCAGAAGAACAUGUUUCCUGACUGAUUUAAGAGUAUUGUUGGUUGAGUUCAUGUUGGAACUUCAAGUUUUAUUCAUGUAUUUGAAAAAAAUUGUGUUGAUGAGGUAGUGAUUUAUGCCUUCUCAACUGUGUACCUACCCAUUUAUAAGUUUAUUCCAAAGUUUCGAUGGCUUGUUGAAUAUUACUAGACAGUAUAAUUGCUGAUUUUUUUAUUUAAUAUAGUCCAGCUACUAUCUAUUUUAACUUUUCAGACCUCUCAACGAGUUCUAUCUACAUAUUUGGUAGUGAAUGAGACCAUACUCGUAUGUACUAAAAAGGAAUCUAAGCUAAAAUCUUAUCUAAUCAUAUCCAGAGCUUUUAAAUUAAGGACCAAAUAAAAUGCUAGAAAUGACACAACUUCAUUCAUUUAAAUCAUUUUACGUGAAGGUCAUGAACUCACAUAUGCAAAUAAAUUGAUGGUGACGAGAUUUGAACCCGGAACCUCCAUCUUUUCGAUAAAUACCAAGUAAUUCAAGAUCUUGGGGGCAAGAUUUUUGUGCCUCUGCUCAUGAAAUUCCUCAGCAUAAAUUUUUUUAAUAAUUUUGACUGUGAAUGGAAUCUAAGAAAAGGGCAAAAAAAAAAAAAAAGAAUCUUCAUUAAAGCCAUUAAUGUUUUGACAAGAAUAUAAAAAUUGUGUACCAAAAACUGUAAGAUAUGGAAAUAGAAGCAGUUGUGAUUGGUGGAUGGUGUGUAGGUCCUUCAAAAAUCGAUUGAAUUGGACAGACACUAAGGCAUGGCUAUUCUGUUAUAACUCUAAAAAGAUGAAAUAUUUUGUACUAUCAAUUAAUUAUACUUAAUUAGGUGCCUUUUCCUUUGACUCUUGAGAUAAAUCAAAUGCCUGCCUGUUGAUUUCUGGCUAUAUUGCAUACAACAAAUGGAAAGGGAGACUGCACAAAGUUCAGUUUAAACUUUAAACUAUUAUUUGAAUCCAUAUCUUGGUAUGUUUGACUAUACAAAAUUGGAAACGGUUAGGUAAAAUUUAUGUUCAUUGUCAUGUCCAACUCUGCAUAUUAAACAUGCUCUAACACUUGGAUCACCUUUUUGUUCAAGGAAAUUUAUUGAGCGCUUUCUCCCCCUACUCGGUUGAGCCCGUUAUACCGGACUUGCUUAGUGUGGUUUACCUGGUUGACGUGAUUUGCAGAUUAUUGCAUCAAUCCGAGAGUUUACCUAGUGCGCACCCGAAAGAUAGCGAUGCGGGUUCCCCCGUCAUAAAAAUAAUAAUAAUAAUAAAAAAUAAAAAAUUAUUGAGCGCUUCAUUUGUACUUGUAUAAUAUAAACAAGCUUUAUAGCAUUUUUUUUCCACUCUCAUCGUGUUUUUCAAUAUAUUACAAUUCACAUCAUGAUCAAAUAAUUCACAUACACACACACACAAAAAGACGUACCUAAAUACAGUUUUACUUACUAAGAAAUCAUGUCUCUCUUCAUUUUACAUGGCUGCCAACUAUGAUAUCUAUAUAUAUAUAUAUAUAUACCUAGUUAAUACUUAACACCAUAUGAAGAAAGUGAAAAAAGCCAGUUGAGAGGCAAUAAUUCUGUCCCAAUGUGUUGGAGUCAUGUCACUAUUGGCAUGUACUCAUCCCUCAACUUGUAAUCAAGAAAUUAUUGCAAGAAAUUUCAUCUAUGAGCCUACCAUACAUUUGAUGUGAAAACUGGCCCAUCGGCGCAUAGAAUUCUGUUUGUCCGAUACAAAAAAGACAAAAUUAAUUAAAUCUGCAUCCCUUUUGCACUACUGGAUAAAAUGGCUUUAUUUACAGAAUUCAUGGAUUUCAACGGAGAGAAUCCAUCUUUGAAGCUCCUUUUUCACUUACCGUUUAACAUGGAAUAUUGAGGAACGAUAAAUCAAGUAUUAACUAGUAAAUUACUGGUAGAAAUCGAGAGGAAAUUAUCUCCCUAUAAUAUAGAAUAUGCAAAACCUGCAACAGAUCUAUCUUUCGUGUUUUGAAUUUUGGCUACCAAGUUAUCAAGUAGGCAAUUUCUAAUGAGAUGCUUUCGUCAAUACCCUUUGAAAUUCAGAAAUUGAAAGCAUAAAACAUCUGUCAUCUGCAUGAAUAUAAAUGCAUCAAGACAUUAAAGUGGUAUGAAAUUUAAUUUAUUGCAGAUUGGAGCACUAAAUUAUAACAAGCUCCAUUGUGUAUCAUCUUAUAAUAAUAAUACCUAAUAUAAUAAUUGAUUUGAAUAAUACAAAGACAGCCAUAUCAAGAAGAAGAUUUUGCUUGUUCAAUCAAACUUAUUCUGUUUUCUAAUCUUUUUAAUUAUUUCUACUUUUACUUAUUUUUCCACCAUAAAUUGACAGCUCUAUCUUUAUAGCCAAAAGCAAACAAUCUAUAACUCCAAUAACUGUACUGCCUCACUUUCCUAAAAGCAUGAAGCACCGCAUUCUUAUUAGUAUACGAAUACAAGCUGCUUGCUUAUCGGCUGUUGUCACAAUUGAAGAAUUUUCAUAGAAUAGAUCGGUAAAGACCUUACUCUAUUUUUUUCUUAAAAGAAACCCAUCGGGGAAACAAAGGCCCAUCUUUUUGACUUGAACAAAUGAUCAAUUCUUCAGUCGAAAAUCAAGAUAUUGGCCGUCCAAUCAAUAACAAACAACGAUCUAAAUUUCGGUCGGUCUCACUAAAUUCAGUGUCGAUUACACAAAUCAGUUUUCACUCCGUUUGGUUCAUUGGACACUGCUGGGGAACACAAGUAUACUAACUAAAUACACCACAACAAAAAGAAGAAAACAUGCCUCAGAGUAAGGCAUUUAUUCUAUAGCAGUAGAGAAGAAAGAUACUGCAAAUUAUGUAAAGAAUCUCAAUGCAAGAAGAAGUAAACUUUCUUCAAAUUUUAUUCAAGAAUCUUAACUCGAAAAAGAGAAAGGUACAUUACAAAAUUUUCGGGCGAUAAAGAAGACAAUUUACUUAUAUAUAAAGAAUAUUAAAGCAAAAAAAAAAAAAAAAAAA